rnacentral:rRNA from 16 species
GCCCAUCGUUGCUACUGAUGGCAGAAUGAUAAAGCCCUCAGGAACUCAAGCUGAUUGGCACUCGUGCACAUCAAUGUCUUGUCAUGGAAUUUGGGCGAUGUUCUGUUGCUAGAGGAAGCAAAAGUUGUAACAAGGAGUUUGC